rnacentral:rRNA from 1 species
UUUUGUUGUGUGAAGCCCCAAAACGGUCAAGAUAAGCCAUGCAUGUCUAAGUAUAAGCAAUUAUACCGUGAAACUGCGAAUGGCUCAUUAAAUCAGUUAUCGUUUAUUUGAUAGUACCUUACUACUUGGAUAACCGUGGUAAUUCUAGAGCUAAUACAUGCUGAAAACCCCAACUUCGGGAGGGGUGUAUUUAUUAGAUACAAAAACCAAUGCCCUUCGGGGCUCUUUGGUGAUUCAUGAUAACUUCUCGGAUCGCAUGGCCUUGCGCCGGCGACGGUUCAUUCAAAUUUCUGCCCUAUCAACUUUCGAUGGUAAGGUAUUGGCUUACCAUGGUGGCAACGGGUAACGGGGAGUUAGGGCUCGACUCCGGAGAAGAAGCCUGAGAAACAGCUUCUACAUCCAAGGAAGGCAGCAGGCGCGCAAAUUACCCAAUCCCGACACGGGGAGGUAGUGACAAUAAAUACUGAUACAGGGCUCUUUUGGGUCUUGUAAUUGGAAUGAGUACAAUUUAAACCUCUUAACGAGGAACAAUUGGAGGGCAAGUCUGGUGCCAGCAGCCGCGGUAAUUCCAGCUCCAAUAGCGUAUAUUAAAGUUGUUGCAGUUAAAAAGCUCGUAGUUGAACCUUGGGCCUGGCUGGCAGGUCCGCCUCACCGCGAGUACUUGACCGGCCGGGCCUUUCCUUCUGGCGAACCUCAUGCCCUUCACUGGGUGUGCUGGGGAACCAGGACUUUUACUUUGAAAAAAUUAGAGUGUUCAAAGCAGGCCUUUGCUCGAAUACGUUAGCAUGGAAUAAUAGAAUAGGACGUGCGGUCUUAUUUUGUUGGUUUCUAGGACCGCCGUAAUGAUUAAUAGGGACAGUCGGGGGCAUCAGUAUUCAAUUGUCAGAGGUGAAAUUCUUGGAUUUAUUGAAGACUAACUACUGCGAAAGCAUUUGCCAAGGAUGUUUUCAUUAAUCAGUGAACGAAAGUUAGGGGAUCGAAGACGAUCAGAUACCGUCGUAGUCUUAACCGUAAACUAUGCCGACUAGGGAUCGGGCGAUGUUUCUAUCUUGACUCGCUCGGCACCUUACGAGAAAUCAAAGUUUCUGGGUCUGGGGGAGUAUCCCACG